rnacentral:misc_RNA from 1 species
CGGAAUUUUAAAUGGAGCUUACACGUUCAAUCAUUUGAAGAGGCAGGCAUCAUUGAAAAUGUCUAUGAAUUUAUUUUUUAAUUUCAAAAUGAGGUUCGGUAAACGCUUCUCCAAGAAUUGUUUGAAGCGUCCCUUGCCAGUUGAGUGGCAGGAGGAGGAAAAAACUGGACAGCUGAGCAAGAAAUUCAAGCCAAACUCAUGGACCGAGUGCAAUCAAACAUCUUGCAGUAAAGGCCCAAGGAGUGUUGACUGAGCGCAGUGGUGGAAAACGGAAGAAUGGAAUUGAGGGUCCGUGGCUUUAACUCUCAAAAUUGGGCUCUUCAUUGAUUUACGUUUGGUUGUUAUUUUAAUAUUUCCAAAUUCGUCAAGUAAAUGUCCAUGAUAUGAAUACUUCUAGCUUUAGCUGUACUUACCUUAAGUAGAUUACUUCAAACGACAAUGAACCAACGGCAUAGGCUAGAAUGCGACUUAUCAAGCUCGUGUAACCAGGAGCAACACACACACACACAAAAGUGGCAAACACCCACGUAUAUAUAUAUAUGUAUAUAUUCCCUUUGCCUCUUUAUCGCCACAUCGAAAUACAACAAUGAAAUUGAAUUUAGAGUAAGGUACC